rnacentral:rRNA from 1 species
GAUGAACGCUGGCGGCGUGCCUAAUACAUGCCAGUCGAGCGAACGGACGAGAAGCUUGCUUCUCUGAUGUUAGCGGCGGACGGGUGAGUAACACGUGGAUAACCUACCUAUAAGACUGGGAUAACUUCGGGAAACCGGAGCUAAUACCGGAUAAUAUUUUGAACCGCAUGGUUCAAAAGUGAAAGACGGUCUUGCUGUCACUUAUAGAUGGAUCCGCGCUGCAUUAGCUAGUUGGUAAGGUAACGGCUUACCAAGGCAACGAUGCAUAGCCGACCUGAGAGGGUGAUCGGCCACACUGGAACUGAGACACGGUCCAGACUCCUACGGGAGGCAGCAGUAGGGAAUCUUCCGCAAUGGGCGAAAGCCUGACGGAGCAACGCCGCGUGAGUGAUGAAGGUCUUCGGAUCGUAAAACUCUGUUAUUAGGGAAGAACAUAUGUGUAAGUAACUGUGCACAUCUUGACGGUACCUAAUCAGAAAGCCACGGUUAACUACGUG